UCGAGCGAUGGAUUAAGAACUUGCUCUUAUGAAUUAGCGGCGGACGGGUGAGUAACACGUGGGUAACCUGCCCAUAACACUGGGAUUACUCCGGGAAACCGGGGCUAAUACCGGAUAACAUUUUGAACCGCAUGGUUCGAAAUUGAAAGGCGGCUUCCGCUGUCACUUAUGGAUGGACCCGCGUCGCAUUAGCUAGUUGGUGAGGUAACGGCUCACCAAGGCAACGAUGCGUAGCCAACCUGAGAGGGUGAUCGGCCACACUGGGACUGACACACCGCCCACACUCCUACGGGAGGCAGCAUUAUGGAAUCUUCCGCAAUGGACGAAAGUCUGACGGAGCAACGCCGCGUGAGUGAUGAAGGCUUUCGGGUCGUAAAACUCUGUUGUUAGGGAAGAACAAGUGCUAGUUGAAUAAACUGGCACCUUGACGGUACCUAACCAGAAAGCCACGGCUAACUACGUGCCAGCAGCCGCGGUAAUACGUACGUGGCAAGCGUUAUCCGGAAUUAUUGGGCGUAAAGCGCGCGCAGGUGGUUUCUUAAGUCUGAUGUGAAAGCCCACGGCUCAACCGUGGAGGGUCAUUGGAAACUGGGAGACUUGAGUGCAGAAGAGGAUAGUGGAAUUCCAUGUGUAGCGGUGAAAUGCGUAGAGAUAUGGAGGAACACCAGUGGCGAACGCGACUUUCUGGUCUGUAACUGACACUGAGGCGCGAAAGCGUGGGGAGCAAACAGGAUUAGAUACCCUGGUAGUCCACGCCGUAAACGAUGAGUGCUAAGUGUUAGAGGGUUUCCGCCCUUUAGUGCUGAAGUUAACGCAUUAAGCACUCCGCCUGGGGGAGUACGGCCGCAACGCUGAAACUCAAAGGAAUUGACGGCGGCCCGCACAAGCUGUGAUCAUGUGUUUAUUCGAAGCAAC
rnacentral:rRNA from 1 species